rnacentral:tRNA from 1 species
GCCUGACUGGCUCAGUCAGUACAGUGUGGGACUCUUGAUCUCAGGGUCAUGAGUUCAAGCCCCAUGUUGGGCG